rnacentral:tRNA from 1 species
GGGCCGGUAGUUCAGUUCGGUAUACUCAACAAUAGAGACCGACGAAUGCCCGCUUGGCAUGUGGGAGGUCGCGGGUUCAAAUCCCGCCCGGUCCACCA